rnacentral:rRNA from 1 species
UGGGGAAUAUUGCACAAUGGGGAAACCCUGAUGCAGCGACGCCGCGUGAACGAAGAAGGUAUUCGUCUCGUAAAGUUCUGUCCUAUGGGAAGAUAAUGACAGUACCAUAGAAGAAAGCUCCGGCUAAAUACGUGCCAGCAGCCGCGGUAAUACGUAUGGAGCGAGCGUUGUCCGGAAUUAUUGGGCGUAAAGGGUACGCAGGCGGUUUAAUAAGUCGAAUGUUAAAGAUCGGGGCUCAACCCCGCAAAGCAUUGGAAACUGAUAAACUUGAGUAGUGGAGAGGAAAGUGGAAUUCCUAGUGUAGUGGUGAAAUACGUAGAUAUUAGGAGGAAUACCAGUAGCGAAGGCGACUUUCUGGACACAAACUGACGCUGAGGUACGAAAGCGUGGGGAGCAAACAGG